ACUAUUUUAUAUAGUCAACAAUAUAAGUAUAUAAAGGAAUUAUUAGGCAAUUCUAGCUAUAUAUUAAGGAGAGCAAAGAUACAAAAAGGAAUAUAAAAUAUUUCUAAUACAUAAGCUCUAGAAAAAAUUUAAUAAUAAACAAAGUGAAGUGAAAUAUCUCAGUAACUUUAGGAAAAGAAAUCAAAAGAGAUUCUAUGAAUAGCGUGAGCGAAAGUAGAUCAGUCUAUUAAGUAAAAUGGUAUAUAAACUGUUUGAAAGGGGAACCUUCCUCAAAGACUAAAUAUAAUAUAUAAGCGAUAGCAAGUUAGUUCGUGAGGUCAUGAAGUCAAUAGUAAUUUUAUAAGCAGUUCGAAUAAACUUAAUUUAAGCUAAAGAACGUACCUUUUGCAUAAUGGGUCACCAAGUUAACAUUAGAUGCGAGGAAAUUUCGUAGUUAAACCAAACGUUAAAAUAACGAUAAGUGUCUAAAGUUAGACCCGAAGCCUGGUGAUUUUACCACGAUCAGGAUUAUAAAGGUCCGAACGGGUGAUUGUAGCAAAAAUCUCCGAAGAAUCGUGGUAGGUAUAGUGAAAGACAAUACUGACUAGGAUAGCUGGUUUUCUGCGAAACCUAUAACAGUAGGCAAUUUAAUAAAAUAUCUUAGCAGGUACAGAAUUUAAUCUCAGGCAAUAUUAUAUUGCGCAAAUUGGGGAAUCGUGAAGAUUUUAUCAGUGAGUAUGUAGACUCGGAAUGGCAAAGAUAUAUGUUGAAUGAUCAGACAUAGAAUGAUAAGGUUGUAUGUCAAAAGGGAAACAGCCCAGAACAAGAGUUAAGGUUCCUAAAUUAUUAGUUAAGUGAAAGUAAGAAGGUUUUUAUUAAAGUCGACAAGGAGAUAGGCUUAGAAGCAGCCAUAAUUUUAUGACCUCGUAACAGAGCGCUUGUUAAGUUAUAAAAGCAUCGAAAAUAUAACGGAUCUAAACAAUAUACCGAAACCUUGUCCAUAAAUAAUAAAUUCGAAAGUUUAUAUUUAUGGGGUAGCAGAACGUUGAAUUGAACGAAAUGACAAGUUUAUAAAUUUGUUAUGUUAAUUCAAGUGAGAAUGGUGACAUGAGUAACGAAAAGAAUAGUAGAUUUUACCAAUAGUUAGUGCUUACGUACUAAUUAGGAGAAGGAAAAGUUUAAAGAAUGAAGUACCGUAAGAUCUGCUAUCCGCCUAAAGCUUAUGGCUAGAAUUAAGUAACGGCCUCUAAGUUUAGCGUCUAAAGACGCAAGCGAUGAGAAAAUCUUUAUUAUUAAAAACGACAUUGAUCUAGUGAGAAAUGUACAGGAAAAAUCAUAAUAUAGUAACCGUACCUAGAAACCGACCAUGGUAAGCAAGUAGAGUAUACGAAGGCGUAAUUGAGAUAACAAUCAUAAAGGAACUCGGCAAAUUGACUAUCGUAACUUCGGGAUAAGUAGGGCUCAUUAUUCUUGAUUAAUAUCAGGUAAAGAGGAAGAAACAUAAAAUAAUGUUGUACGACUGUUUAAUUAAAACACAGCACUUUGCUUAAGAUUAAAAAUCUAUGUAUAAAGUGUGAUAUCUGCCCGGUGCCGGCUGGCUAACAGAGAUAAUUGAAUAUAUUACUAUUUGAUGUCGACGGAAGCCCCGGUUAAAGGCGGCCUUAACGUGAGGGUCCUAAGGUAGCGAAAUGCCUUGGCCGUUAAAUGCGGUCUUGCAUGAAUGGUGUAACGAUACAACAGCUGUCUCUAUGAUUGACUCAGUGAAAUUGGAAUAGCUGUGCAGAUACAGCUUACCUCUAGUUAGACGAGAAGACCCUAUGCAGCUUUACUGUCACUAAUUCUAGAUUAUGAUGAACAAUUUUCAGACUAAAAGGGAAUUGAUUAAAUAUCUAUGAGAAACCUUUAUUUUUUUUCUUCAUUUGAAUGAAUUGAUAUACUUACAAAUGUUUGUAUAUCAUCCUAGUUCAGCCUAUAUCUUUAUGUUCAAACAUAAAAAUAGGUACCCUUGGAGAGGAACUAUGACUAGGGGACAGUUUAUGUGGGGCACAGACCCUGUAAAGAGUAAACAGGUGUGUCUAAUAAUUAUUUUUAUUUUGUUUGCUAUUUUGAAAUAAAUCGUAUUCACUUUGAUAUAAUUAUAGGGUAUAAUAUACAAUUAUAUUUAUAUUGAAAAUUUAGGUAAGAUUUUGACUAUAUUGAAAUUAGAGAUAAUUUAAAAUUUUAUGUAUAUACAAAUUAUACUAAAAUUUUAUAGUUAUUUAUGUUAUAAAUAAUUAUGUUUUGAAUAUCGAAAAAGCUCAACGGCUUAAUCUUGCCUUACUGUUUGAUUAUCAACAAAUCUUACAGUUGCGUAAGCAGGGCAUAGGAUCACAAGAUGCAAUAAGGAAAGAUCUUGGAUUAUUGGAAAAGCUACGCUAGGGAUGUUUGUCCCAUAAUCUUUAGUAUACAGUAUUGCUUAUUUAUUAGCUAGUUAGCUAGCUAAAGCAAAUAAUACAUAAUAUUAAAGAAUUAUAAUAAAUUGGGUAAAUUUCAAGAAUUACUAGAAUAUAGUAAACUUGAAGCGAAAUUUAUCUUAGCAUAAUAUAAGAUAAAAACGUUCAACGACUAUACGGUGAGUGUUAUGCAUAGUUUAUAAUUAAUAAAUUACAACACAAUAAUCCUUUAUUACU
rnacentral:rRNA from 1 species